GGUCUUAUGGUCUAGUGGUAAGUCAUCAAUUCAUAAUUCACCCAGAAUUUCUCAUCCUGACUCCCAUCUAGGUAUGAUUCUCGCUUAGGGUACACCCUACAGCUCAGGUUGCGAGAGGCCCCGCGUUCGAAUCGCGGUAAGACCC